GAUUAACGCUGGCGGCGUGCAUAACACAUGCAGGUCGAACGAUGAAACUUAGUAGACUUCUUCGGAAAGACACUAAGCGGAUUAAUGCCCAACUGAUUAUUAACCCCUGGGUAACCUGCCUUCCACAAGGGAAUAGCCUUUGGAACCGAAGAAUAAUACCCUAUAAAACCAUAAAAGCACAUGCUACAAUGGUCAAAGUGAUAGCGGUGUAAGAUGGACUUGCGUCUGAUUAGCUAGUUGGCGAGAUAAAAGCUCACCAAGGAAACGAUCAGUAGCCGGCUUGAGAGAGUGUACGGCCACAUUGGGACUGAGACACGGCCCAGACUCCGACGGGAGGCAGCAGUGGGGAAUUUUGCACAAUGGGGGAAACCCUGAUGCAGCGACGCCGCGUGAUUGAGAAGGCCUUCGGGUUGUAAAAAUCUUUUGUAUAGGAAGAAAAUGACAGUACUAUACGAAUAAGGUCCGGCUAAUUACGUG
rnacentral:rRNA from 1 species